rnacentral:rRNA from 1 species
UACGUAGGUGGCAAGCGUUACCCGGAUUUACUGGGUGUAAAGGGCGUGUAGGCGGGAAAGCAAGUCAGAUGUGAAAACCAUGGGCUCAACCUGUGGCCUGCAUUUGAAACUGUUUUUCUUGAGUACUGGAGAGGCAGACGGAAUUCCUAGUGUAGCGGUGAAAUGCGUAGAUAUUAGGAGGAACACCAGUGGCGAAGGCGGUCUGCUGGACAGCAACUGACGCUGAGGCGCGAAAGCGUGGGGAGCAAACAGG